rnacentral:piRNA from 1 species
UUGAAUCUUUUAGCCUUACAAUUUCUUUGGAA